rnacentral:rRNA from 1 species
CAAAAGUCGUGCACGCCGGAGCACGUCCUCUCUCUCACAUAAAAUCCAUCUCACCCUUUUGUGCACCACCGCGCGGGCACCCUUUGGGAUGCUUGCGUUUUCACACAAACCCCUUUUAAAAAAGUGUAGAAUGACCCCACUUUGCGAUGACACGCAAUCAAUACAACUUUCAACAACGGAUCUCUUGGCUCUCGCAUCGAUGAAGAACGCAGCGAAAUGCGAUACGUAAUGUGAAUUGCAGAAUUCAGUGAAUCAUCGAAUCUUUGAACGCACCUUGCGCCCCUUGGUAUUCCGAGGGGCACACCCGUUUGAGUGUCGUGAAAAUCUCAACCUUCUCGGUUUUCUUCUGGACACCGAAGGAGGCUUGGACUUUGGAGGCCUUUGCUGGCGUCUCUCUAGAGCCAGCUCCUCUUAAAUGAAUUAGCGGGGUCCUCUUUGCCGAUCCUUGACAUGUGAUAAGAUGUUUCCAUGACUCGGUUUCUGGCUCUGUUGCAUUUGGGACCUGCUUCUAACCGUCUCGACGAGACGAUGUUUGGGAGUGUCUCCCUUCUCGGGAGACUCUCUCGACCCCACGAACC